rnacentral:rRNA from 1 species
GACGAACGCUGGCGGCGUGCUUAACACAUGCAAGUCGAACGGAGUGGCGAACGGGUGAGUAACACGUGGGUGAUCUGCCUUGCACUUCGGGAUAAGCUUGGGAAACUGGGUCUAAUACCGGAUAGUGCAAGAUUGGCUCGCGGCCUAUCAGCUUGUUGGUGGGGUAAUGGCCUACCAAGGCGUCGACGGGUAGCCGGCCUGAGAGGGUGUACGGGGACAUUGGGACUGCGAGACGGAGCAGAAUCCUACGGGAGGCAGCAGUGGGGAAUAUUGCACAAUAGGCGGAAGCCUGAUGCAGCGACGCCGGGGGGGGGAUGAAGGCUUUCGGGUGGUAAACUCCUUUCGACAGGGACGCGGUACCUGUAUAAGAAGCACCGGCUAACUACGUGCCAGCAGCCGCGGUAAUUC